CUCAUUAAAUCAGUUAUAGUUUAUUUGAUGGUCUCCUUUGUCUUUUUUUACCUACUUGGAUAACCGUGGUAAUUCUAGAGCUAAUACAUGCGCAAGGUCCCAAGCGCGGGGGGCAGGGCUUCACGGCUCUGUUCUCGCAUGCGCAGAGGGAUGUAUUUAUUAGGUUAAAAACCAGCGUAGCCAGCAAUGGCUACUCAUCUUCUGGUGAUUCAUAGUAACUCUUUCGGAUCGCAUUCAUG
rnacentral:rRNA from 1 species